UACGAAGGUUGCAAGCGUUGUUCGGAAUCACUGGGCUUAAAGCGUAUGUAGGCGGAUGAGUAAGCGUUUUGUGAAAUCCCCCGGCUUAACCGGGGAAUUGCUUGGCGAACUACUCAUCUUGAGGCAAGCAGGGGUGCAUGGAACUCUUGGUGGAGCGGUGGAAUGCGUAGAUAUCAAGAGGAACGCCAGCGGCGAAAGCGGUGCACUGGGCUUGUUCUGACGCUGAGAUACGAAAGCGUGGGGAGCAAACGGG
rnacentral:rRNA from 1 species